GAUGAAGAACGUAGCGAAAUGCGAUAAGUAAUGUGAAUUGCAGAAUUCAGUGAAUCAUCGAAUCUUUGAACGCACAUUGCGCCCGCCAGUAUUCUGGCGGGCAUGCCUGUUCGAGCGUCAUUUCAACCAUCAAGCCCCCGGCUUGUGUUGGGGACCUGCGGCUGCCGCAGGCCCUGAAAACCAGUGGCGGGCUCGCUAGUCACUCCGAGCGUAGUAAUACAUCUCGCUCAGGGCGUGCUGCGGGUUCCGGCCGUUAAAAAAGCCUUAUUUACCCAAGGUUGACCUCGGAUCAGGGAAGAAGACCCGCUGAACUUAAGCAUAUCAAUAAGCGGAGGA
rnacentral:misc_RNA from 1 species